UACGGGGGGGGCAAGCGUUGUUCGGAAUUACUGGGCGUAAAGGGCUCGUAGGCGGCCGACUAAGUCAGACGUGAAAUCCCUCGGCUUAACCGGGGAACUGCGUCUGAUACUGGAUGGCUAGAGGUUGGGAGAGGGAUGCGGAAUUCCAGGUGUAGCGGUGAAAUGCGUAGAUAUCUGGAGGAACACCGGUGGCGAAGGCGGCAUCCUGGACCAAUUCUGACGCUGAGGAGCGAAAGCAUGGGGAGCGAACAGG
rnacentral:rRNA from 1 species